rnacentral:tRNA from 1 species
UUAAUUAAAGCCAAAGAAGAGGCGCAUUACUGUUAAUGAUGUCAAUGAAUAAACUUCUAAUUAAG